CAACCCACCCUCGCGUUCCCCCCACAUCUCGUCGCUCGUCGUUUCCCCCAAUCCGCUCGCCUCGCCUCUCCCCAGCCGCCGCUCCGCCCCCCGCGCCGCCUCCUGCUCCGGCUCCGGCGAGAUGUCUCGCUUCGGGCGCUCCGGCCCGCCGCCGAUCCGCGACACCUACUCCCUCCUCGUCCUCAACAUCACCUUCCGUACGACGGCCGAUGACCUUUUCCCGCUCUUCGACAAGUACGGCGAGGUCGUCGACAUCUACAUCCCCAGGGACCGCAGGACUGGCGACUCGCGAGGGUUUGCCUUCGUGAGGUACAAGUAUGAGGACGAGGCGCAGAAGGCAGUUGAUCGCCUGGACGGGAGGUUGGUGGACGGGAGGGAGAUGAUGGUGCAGUUUGCCAAGUACGGGCCAAAUGCUGAGCGGAUUCAGAAAGGGCGAAUCAUGGAAACGGUCCCGAAGCCAAGGGGUCGUUCCAGAAGCCGCAGUCCAAGACGGGGGUACCGUGAUGAUCAUCGGGGCAGAGAUUCUAGAAGGCGAAGUCGGAGUCGGAGUGGAGAUAGAUAUGGACGUGACAGGUACAGAGAGAGGGACCAUCAUCGUCGUAGCAGGAGUCGUAGCACUAGUCCUGAUGAUUACAAGAGGCGUGGCAGAGACAGAAGUCCUAGUCGUAGCAGGAGCCGCAGCUACAGUCCUGAUGAUGACAGGAAGGGUGGCAGAGACAGUUUGUCGCCCGCACGCAGAAGCACUAGUCGCUCCCCUCGCAAGACACCACCUCCUCGCAAGACACCACCUCCUUGCGAGGGGUCUCCUGCUAAGCGCAAUGAUGACCGUUCUCCUGUUAGGCGCAAUGAUGACCGUUCUCCUGUUAGGCGCAAUGAUGACCGGUCUCCAGGCUCUCGUAGCCCUUCAACAUGAGCUGAAUGUCAAACAACUGAGGAUCAAUGGAACAGAGCUGCUCAUAUUGGAGGCUGUUCAGUUGCUUUAUCAUGAACAAUCUGCAGUUACAAUUGCAAAUUAAAAAUGUUGUGGUGCUUGACAUCGGUGACUACUUCAGGCUACAGAUGCUGCUUUGUGGAUGUCUGGAUACUUGUUAGAACUAUAUUUACAUGAUGUGGUGAAGAGGUGCUGGUUGAUAAAGGCUGAACACACAAGUUGCUUGCUGUUGCCGUUGAUAUUGUUUGUGCUGUAUCCCUUAAUGAUGAUGAUGCUGGUGAUGGAGAUGAUGAUGGUGAUGCUGGUGGGGGUUGAUGAUGGUGGUGAUCAUUUUGCUGCGUGCACUCUUGUUAUGCUGACAAGUAAGGUUCAAAUGAUCCAGCUGAGGUUCACUGCUUAAGCUGUUCAUCAAUAAUAAAGUAUUAAACAACUCUGGUCCAUGUUACUGCAUGCUAGGAUUUGAAAAAAUUGGUUUCUUAGUUGAGUCUCUGCUCAUGAUUUAUGUUAUGCAACCACAACAUAUCUUUACAAAAGUGUGGUAGCAACAGACAUUUGGGUGUUCUUUGUUGUUUGUUCUGGCCUAAAUAAAUUCUGAUAUGAUGAUAGAGUCUUGAAAGAUAAGUGGAACUUAAAAGUUAGUACAGUACCUUUCUAUACCAUUUAGAAGUCUAUUAUGUAAAGACUACAUAGCAAUGCAAAUACUCUUAAUGUGCUGACCAAGUCAAUUUUUAGUAUCUUAGGAUUUUGUGUGGUUUAUAGAGUUCAGAAUGUUUGGCAGUUGAUGUUCCAAGUUUACAGUCACUGUAAGCAUGUGGUAGCAUCUUGACUUGUAACCAGUUUGUGAGACUUCUUUUCUUCAUAUUAUGACUCUUAUACGGCUUUUUUUUAAAAAACUUUACAACUCUUAACAUCCUUUCGCAAUAGAAGGUGUGGUAGGUGUUUUCAAUUGCAGACUGAAUUAUGUCAGCUCCAAGGCCUGCUGCCCUGUAGAUGUAUCAUGCGAAUGCUGACUUAGGAUCAUGUGGUGAUGGCGGCCCUAUGGAAAGAACCUACGCUCCAUGAUUGAUGUAUAUAUUUCCGAAGUGUAAUGUAUGGUAACUUUGUAGUGAUGUUCAUUUGGUACACAAUUGAAAAUUCCUUGAAAAGAACUUGCGCUGAUUUGGUUUGA